ACUUUAACACAUAUUGACUUGUGGCAUCAAGUGAUAGCAACUAUGACACAGAUUUGGUUGCAUUUUCUAACUUGAUCAAGUGAUAGCAACUAUGACACAGAUUUGGCUGCAUCUUCUAACUUUGGCGAUGAUUGCUCUAACCCUUAGUUGACCUUGAUGGUGAAAUAGUUUAUGAGGAUGAUGAGUUUGAUCCUCCCCUAUUUUCAUAUGAUGUUGAUGAACCAUGUAUUGAUGUUAAUGUAGUCUUUCCGGAUGUGGAUAAGUGCAAAUCUGCGGGUUACACACCAUGCUAUAUUGAACGAUCAUGCUUUUGAGAUUGUCAAAAGGGACAAUACCAGAUUUAGAGCAAUCUGCAUGAGUGUUGAUACUGGUUGCAAUUGAAAGUUUUUUUAAAUCUACAAGCAGGAAGUACAUUGGCUACAAGGUUAAGAUAAGUGGUUCAGAGUAUACUUGUGGUUCAAUCAACAAUUGCGGUGGAACCAUGUCCACAAAUAAAUGGGUAGCUGAUAGAGCGGUGGAUUUGUUGAGAGAUAAUCAUGAAAUGGGUCCAAGGGAGUUGCUGGACAUGUAUUCAUACUUUUGUUGGACUUGUCUGUGGGAAUAUGAUCUGGAUAUGAUGGUACCUUUGUUUGGA